rnacentral:tRNA from 1 species
UCUAAUGUGGCAGAUAAGUGCCAUGGACUUAAGCCCCAUAUAUAGAAUUUUCAAUUCUCAUUAGAA